UACAGGGGGGGCUAGCGUUGUUCGGAAUUACUGGGCGUAAAGGGCGCGUAGGCGGCUUAACAAGUCAGGGGUGAAAUCUCGGGGCUUAACUCCGAAAGUGCAUUUGAAACUGUUAGGCUAGAGUGCAGUAGAGGUUGGUGGAAUUCCCAGUGUAGAGGUGAAAUUCGUAGAUAUUGGGAGGAACACCGGUGGCGAAGGCGGCCAACUGGGCUGUAACUGACGCUGAGGCGCGAAAGCGUGGGGAUCAAACAGG
rnacentral:rRNA from 1 species